ACGUAUUUCUUUAGUGAUUCAAGCAGACCACGUAUUCCAGCUUGUUCAUUUCUCACUUGGAAUUCAUUUAGUAACUUUUGGGAUUUAUUUUGGAAGCAAAAUAAAGGUACAACAACGUUUUUUUCUUUGAAGUUCAUUUAUGAAGUUCAUUUUUGCUUUGAAGUUUAGCAACCAUUUGAUUUAACCGUGGGGGACAAUUCAUUUGAUGGAAGCAAAUGCAGCAGCCUCACAUCCUAUUUCAAUUAAGUUAUAGUAGUCUCUUGGUUGUAGUAAGCUCAUGAUAGAACGGACUAGGUACAGUGGUUCAAGACUAAGGUGGAAGAAGAUUAAAUCUUGGCACAUAAGACUUGCAGGUUCAAGAAAUGAGACAUGGGAUGAGUAAGUAAGCGACGAGGUACAUACGCUCGAUUCGGUGAUCCCCCAGCUUAGGAUUUCCAAUCAGCUGUCUUGGAGAGCUCCAUUGUUCCGGAGCCUAGACUUUUGGUACAGAUCUUCUGAUGUAUUUAUAUAUGGUUGUCCAGGGGUACGACGGGGCCCUGUCCCGUCAUAUUACACUGCUAGUACUCUUAGAGGUCUGUAGACAUAUGUGUGGGUUAUGUAUAAGUUUUUUUCAGCUGUGUCUAUACGAUGUGCUAUGAUAUGAUGUUCGUCUGUGGUAGCAGCCUUGUCGGCUUGCAUAUGAUAUUGAUAUGUAGUGGCAGCCUU